UUAUGAUGGAUAAUGUCAUUGCAAGGAAUGUAGCGAGUACAGUCAGUCUAGGCAGCGUAACUGCAUGGUUGGCAAGCUUCGUUCUUUUCAUCACCAUUGGAAAACUGCAGUCGCUGUACUCACGUGGAGAGUCAUGUAAGGGUUGGAGCCAGGUGUGUGGGGGUCAGGUGUCCAGCUGCUUCUCAUCAGCCACAACCAACCUGUGCUUCUUAUAACCGACGCAGACCAAGGACCCGUGUUGGACUGCCUCAAGACCUGAAAUCCCUUCACUGGAUCCCGCCACAAGCCUGCUCUGCCCCGCUCCUUCUCGGAUUACUUCAGAUCUGUCCCCCUAGAAAUCUGGAC